GUCGCUGAACGAAAUCAAGGAAGUGCUGGCCCAGAUGGGUCUGCACCUCGGCAUGGAAGUGCCCGGUUGGCCGCCGGAGAACAUCGACGAACUGGCCAAGCGCUUUGAGGAUCACUACUGAGCGAAAUCGCGUGAUGGCCGGAUCUCUGGCCAUGACGUUCGGGCGAACGCAGGCAGCCCACCUGAGCAACAUGUCCGACGAACCGUCGCGGCAAUCGAAAUUGAGGAAUAAGUCAUGCGUCACGGCAAGGUUCAUCGGAAACUCAACCGCACCGCGGAGNNNNNNNGAUGUUCGCAAACAUGUGCGCCGCGCUGAUCAAGCACGAGCAGAUCGUCACCACUCUCCCC
rnacentral:misc_RNA from 1 species